AUGGCCUGGGCCCUGCUCUUCCUCUGGCUGCUGGCUCACUGCAUAGACUCCAUGGCCUCUUACACUCUCACUCAGCCGCCAUCAGUGUCAGUGACAUCAAGAGAGACAGCCGAAAUCACAUGCUCUGGAGAAAACCUGGAGGAUAAAUAUGCAUCUUGGUGCCAGCAGAAGCCAGGCCAGGCUCCUUUGCUACUCAUCUAUGCAGAUAGCAAUUGGCCUUCAGGGAUUCCUGAUCGAUUCUCUGGUUCUAACUCAGGGAAUGUGGCCAUACUGACCAUCACAGGAACACAAGAUGGGGAUGAGGCUUUCUAUUACUGUCAAAUUUGGAACUCUACGUAA